ensembl:snoRNA
CUGCAUGUGGAAAUGUCUGUUCUUCAUUCUUUUAGGAGCAGGAAUACAUAUAGAUAUAAAAAACAUCCCAUAUUUUAAAAGGAAUUCUUAGGGCUUGCCAAUCUUGUAGUAAAGGUUGAAUUAGCAGUAUAUGUCUUCUACAUAA